AUUAUGAGGAGAUGGCAUCACGUUCUGCCACAAAAUUUCUAAUUUCUAAAAUAAUCGCAACGCCUCACAUUCUAUCAAUGAAGUAUUGACAAUCUAAUGUUCACUAACUAAUCAACUGCAGUAGAAAGUGUUGACUGCAAAUUUAAAAUAGAAGAGGGAGGCAAACCAAAAUCAAGUUUAAAUGAAACGAAGUUAUUGGGCUAUGCUUCCAUAUUUUCAGGCGAGUUCUGCCCUAAACAACGUCUGCAAUACUAUAUUGCGGCAGCUAACCAGCUGAGCAUCAGAAACAGGCCAUCAAAAAUGUAACAGGGUCGCAAUAAUGUUGUAAUUAUUGAAUACGACGAACAUAGACAUGGCAACCAGUUCUACCUUGCCGCAAUAAACACUCGGAUUUUUUCCCCGACCAAGGACUGUGGGCUCAGUAAACUAGCCCUGUCUAGUGCACCACACCGCACCUUAGCCCAACGUACACAUACUUACGAACGGAUACGAAAUAAAACAUAAGUGCCAUUAUUUAUUACUGACUUAAACUUUUAAUAAUAUAUUUCCUUUUUAUUAGUAUUUUUAUUAUCAAAUCUUUGCUUUAAUUUUUUUGUUUUUUUUUCAGAUGAAUUAUUUACUUGCAUUGGUUGAUCUGUUUUUUGUUUUUUCUUCUGUCAAAUUUAUGCUACAUUUAAUUCAAAUACAUAUUUGCGGGUAUCAUGCAUUUGUAGUAAUUGCCGUAGGUGCAAAACCCGACAACGGGCUGCCAUGUCACUACUUUUGCUUGCUAACAAUUUUAUCGUAUAUGUAAAUAAUAUAUAUGUAUAUGUAUAUAGUGAGAGUGAGCACAUUUACAUAAAAUAUUUAUAUUUGUAUCGUAGCAUUAUAUAUAUUUCUUCGUUUUCUUUUAUUUCCAUGCCAGUUCUAGUAAAUAUAAUCUAUAUUUGUUAAGUGUAUGAAUUGAUGGUGGUAUUGUAAUGAAUGGAUGGAUGGCUACACUUAACGAACGCGUUAGUUUCGUCGCCAUAAAACCUACAUUUAAAUAUCCAGCAAUGUUUGGAAAAACAUCUUUCAGUGCGAUCGACACAUAAAAAUUUACAAUUUAUAGAUAUUAGUAAACA